GUGAAUCAUCGAAUUUUUGAACGCAAAUUGCGCCUUUUUCUGAAGGCAUGUCUGUUUGAGUUCACGAUUUAACAAACAAUGUGCAGCGAUUUUUGUUGCACACGUUGAUGUGCUUUCCAAGAAUUUUAAAGUUUGGGUGGCGCAUAAUGAACAGCUUGAGAGUUUUUUUCAGUUCUAGUUUAUGAAAAUCUCUGCUUGGGUUGUGAAAAAACAUAAUCGCGCAAUGUGGGUGGCAAUUUCUUUUUAUCCCUGCCCCAAUGCCACUCUUUCUCACGAAAGAAUGUCUAAUCUUCAGGGCCU
rnacentral:misc_RNA from 1 species